CUUUACUAUUUGGGCCAAAGCCCAUAAGUCAUUUCCGAUGGCUAGUUUAAGAGAUUAGGUUGUCGGACAAAAGGGACGCAAAGAGGACCUUCAACCAUUGAAGAAAAGCCUUGAAAGUCUUUUUGGAGCUGGCGAUUAAGGAUGAGAGAAUCUCAUGAAAAAAAAGGAUAGAGAGAUGGAAGAAGAGAAGAGUCUUAAAAGCAGAGCAAAGAAAAAGUGUAAGGUUUGUUUUUAUCUUGCUGUUUUCCUCUCUAUUGAUUCCCAUUUGGGCUUUUACUAAGCCCCACCAAAAUUAAUCAUCAAAUCACUUUGUUAAUGCUCCUUUGGGAGGAUGAGGAAGCUUUUAUAAAUAAUUUGAUUAUUUGUCAUUAUGGAUAUUGAAAGGGGAAA